AAUGGGGGCAACCCUGAUCCAGCGAUGCCGCGUGAGUGAAGAAGGCCUUAGGGUUGUAAAACUCUUUUACCCGUGAAGAUAAUGACGGUAGCGGGAGAAAAAGCUCCGGCUAACUCCGUGCCAGCAGCCGCGGUAAGACGGAGGGAGCAAGCGUUGUUCGGAAUAACUGGGCGUAAAGAGCGCGUAGGUUGUUGAAUGAGUUAGGCGUGAAAGCCCCAGGCUCAACCUGGGAAUAGCGUUUAAUACUGUUCGACUAGAGUUUGGUAGAGGAAAGUGGAAUUCCUAGUGUAGAGGUGAAAUUCGUAGAUAUUAGGAGGAACACCAGAGGCGAAGGCGGCUUUCUGGACCAAUACUGACGCUGAGGCGCGAAAGCGUGGGGAGCAAACAGGAUU
rnacentral:rRNA from 1 species